rnacentral:rRNA from 1 species
CCUACGGGAGGCUGCAGUGAGGAAUAUUGGUCAAUGGCCGGAAGGCUGAACCAGCCAAGCCGCGUGAAGGACGAAGGUGCCAAGCAUUGUAAACUUCUUUUGUCAAGGGACAAAAUCAGGCUCGAGAGCCUGACCGAGGGUACUUGAAGAAAAAGCAUCGGCUAACCACGUGCCCGCAGCCGUGGUACUACAGAGGAUGCGAGCGUUAUCCGGCUUUAUUGGGUUUAAAGGGUGGGAAGGCGGACUGUUACGUCAGCGGUAAAAGCCCGGUGCUAAACCCCGGCGAGCCGUUGAAACUGGCUGUCUUGAGAUGUCGAGAGGUAUGCGGAAUGCGCAGUGUAGCGGUGAAAUGCUUAGAUAUUGCGCAGAACUCCGAUUGCGAAGGCAGCAUACCGGCGGAGAUCUGACGCUGAGGCACGAAAGCGUGGGUAUCGAACAGGAUUAGAUACCCCGGUAGUC